AUUGAACGCUGGCGGCAGGCUUAACACAUGCAAGUCGAGCGGGGUGAUGGUGCUUGCACUAUCACUUAGCGGCGGACGGGUGAGUAAUGCUUAGGAAUCUGCCUAUUAGUGGGGGACAACAUCUCGAAAGGGAUGCUAAUACCGCAUACGUCCUACGGGAGAAAGCAGGGGAUCACUUGUGACCUUGCGCUAAUAGAUGAGCCUAAGUCGGAUUAGCUAGUUGGUGGGGUAAAGGCCUACCAAGGCGACGAUCUGUAGCGGGUCGGAGAGGAUGAUCCGCCACACUGGGACUGAGACACGGCCCAGACUCCUACGGGAGGCAGCAGUGGGGAAUAUUGGACAAUGGGGGAACCCUGAUCCAGCCAUGCCGCGUGCGUGAAGAAGGCCUUAUGGUUGUAAAGCACUUUAAGCGAGGAGGAGGCUACUGAGACUAAUACUCUUGGAUAGUGGACGUUACUCGCAGAAUAAGCACCGGCUAACUCUGUGCCAGCAGCCGCGGUAA
rnacentral:rRNA from 1 species